AUAGCCCACAACGAUCGCAUAAACCAAUCCAUUUAUUUGUUAUAAUAGUAUAAUAUAAAACUCACAUCGAGUCAACACAAUACAAAAUAGAACAAUACAACAUUGUUCGGUCAGACACAUAACAAAAACAAAUAACAUUCAAUACAUAAAAACGAUAUGCAAUACGAUCUGUAACAGAGGAACCCCGAUUGUAUUUAGUUCGGAAGUCGAAGAUAGAGCGGGACAGGAUUGUGUGGGUCAGGAGGCGCAUCCCAAACAGUGAAAGCGCUGCUGGAGUUGAUCCACUUGCUGCUCAUCUCUGGAUCAUGUCGAUCCAAAACAUCUUUCAAACUUUCUGUUGUAUUCACCCAUUCCAAUCCUUUCCUUGUGUAGAUUUCCUCAUUGAAAUCACUUGUGAAAAAUCUAUCUGCCUCUAGCCUCCUGUUUAUAGUUAAUUUGAUUUCAAACAUCAUUAACUAAGUUAAUUCAAAAACCCUCUCUCUCUCUCUCUCUAUAUAUAUAUAUAUAUAUAUAUAUAUAUAUAUAUAUAUAUAUAUUGUAGUGCGCUCCCAUACUUUUCUUUUUUCGUUAGACACUGAUACCCUUAUUUUUCAAUGAAUAAGACAUAUAUCUGAUGAACAAGGUGUAUAUACUGAUGAAUAAUGAAAUUUAAAAAAUUUGUAAUGAAUAAGACAUAUAUACUGAUGAACAGGGCCAUAUAUACUGAUGAACAAUACAGUAUAUACUGAUGAAUAACAAAAUUUAAAAUAUUCUGCUCCCUGCAGGAUUCGAACCCUGCGAAAAAAAAUCACCCUCCAAAUACAAUAUCAGCCAUAGGAUUAAUAAAAUAAACGCAUCAGAUCGUGCCCUAGAUCUCACUAAAAUUAGGGGGUCUCAUUGGAGCGGCUUCCUAUAUAUAUAUAUAUUGACAGUAGUUCAUAUUUAUUUAAAAUCUAUAUAUAUAAAAGGAAAAGUAAAUGUCAAUAAAUUUAAUUUGAGCGGAAAUUUUAGAAUUGAAUGAAAAUUUUAUAAGGCACGAUCAAUCAAAUGUUGACUGCAUUUUUUUUAAAGAAAAGAAAAAAGAACAGUACAUGUAUUGUUUAGAAGUAACCGUUUCUUUUUUUUCAUUCAAUUUCUUUUUUAAUUAGUGCUUCUUUAAAUAUGUACACUUAUUGACAGCUUUUAUUUUAGGAGUAAAGAUUUUUUUCAUUCAAUUUCUUUUUUCAAAUCUAAAACAUAUGUUUUCCUAUUCUCUUAAUAUUUUAUUCUAAAAAAGCACACAAUAUGUAUCUUACUUAAAAAAUUAUAAAAAUAUCUUUAAUUUGAUAUAAAACGCAUAAAAGAUAUUUUUAAAACAAAUAUGUAGUAUACAUGUUAUGAACAUUAAAAAAAACAUUUUCCUUACUUUUUCUCAUUUUCUCUUUUUCCAAUUCUUUCUUUCACUUUAGGAUUGAGGUUAUUUAAUGUUUUCUUCUAUUUUCCUUUUUAUUCUUUUCUUUACUUUUUAAUAUCAGAUCGUAUUUAUAUAUAACAUUUUCUCAUUUUCUCUUUAUGAACAUGUGUAAUUUAUUUAUCUUUCUUUAACUUUUUUUAUAAAUGUGUGAAUCAUACAAUGUAAUUUUAGUUUUAGCUAUAAAGAGUAAAUUAUUAAAUACAGUUCAAUAUAAAUAAAUAUACAAAAAUAUAUAUAACGGUACAAUAAUGCUUUGUACAGUAUAUAAUAUGAUUUGUGGUGCUACAAUGACAUCAUGUUAUGUUAGUGUUAAAAGUUGCAUGUGGAUGGCAAUUAUAACCUCUGUAAUUUUUUAUUUUAUCCAAUUAUAAUUAAUUUAAAAAUAAAAUAUUAAAUCGUCACGUUGCAAAAUGAUGUUUGUUAAACUAUCAAGAUAAUAAUAUUUUCUUAUAAUGGUGGGAUCCUUUUUCUCACUACAUAAAAUUAUCGCUCAUUUUAUUAAAAAUCGUGCCAACAAAAAAUGUCAUAUUUUUUAUGAACAAAGUAAAUACAUUAUAUGUGUAGUUCAUAAUCAUCGCGCAUCACGCGGGAGAUACACUGAUAAAGGAAAAAAAGAAAGAAAAGAUGAGUGAGGAUUUUCAAGAAAGUUGGUAAUUGUUGUAUUUUAGAUAAUCGGGGAUAUGAGAUAAGGGAAUCCCAAAUCCACGCCGUUUUAGUUUUUAACUUUUGAUUAUGUGAAAAUGUAUAUUAAUAUAAGCAACAAUCGAUUUAAAAAACACACAAGAAGUCCUUUUUUCUUGAAAAGAAAAAACAAUUUUCAGGUUGUACCGAAUAUUAAUACCCUUUUAUUUUUUUCCUUUCCCCCACAAUUUCCCCCUAUAUUGUUGCAUAUAUGGAGUUGGUGUGGGAUGGCAACAGUUACCCACUCUCACACAUGCAAUAAAAGAAGAGUGAAAAAUUUAAAAUGCCCUAUUCUUUAAGUCAUACUCCCUCUGUCCGCCAAAAGUAGACCAUUUUUACUAUAUUGGGCGUCCGCAAAGAGUAGACCACUUUCCUUUUAUGGAAAUGGUCCCACCACCCACUUUAAUCUUUUAUCCUUAUAAAAACACUUUAUUUACAAAAAAACCACCUCAAAUUCAAUCUCAACCACACAUCUCAUAAAGUGGUGGGACCCUUUCUCCACUACAUCAAUAUCAUCACCAAUUUUAUUAAAUCCCGUGCCCAACCAAAGUGGUCUACUUUUGGCGGACGGAGGGAGUAUAUUGAAAAAUAUUUUUUUUUAUAAACAUAAGUAUUUUAUGUUAUAUUCUUUAAAUACCAUUUGGUUUGAUGGAUUUGCUUGGUUUUUUAUGCAAGUCUUACACAUUUGACCGAUUUGACAACUAUCAGUCAUAAAAGUCAACGAUUUGACAGCUAUCAGUCAAAAAUAUAUAUGAUCGGUGGAUGGUUAGAUCAUGUGUCCGUUCGGGCGGACACAUAAUUUCACCGGACGGACACAUGAUUUUACCGACUGGACACAUGAUUUUAUCAGCCGGACACNNNNNNNNNNNNNNNNNNNNNNNNNNNNNNNNNNNNNNNNNNNNNNNNNNNNNNNNNNNNNNNNNNNNNNNNNNNNNNNNNNNNNNNNNNNNNNNNNNNNNNNNNNNNNNNNNNNNNNNNNNNNNNNNNNNNNNNNNNNNNNNNNNNNNNNNNNNNNNNNNNNNNNNNNNNNNNNNNNNNNNNNNNNNNNNNNNNNNNNNNNNNNNNNNNNNNNNNNNNNNNNNNNNNNNNNNNNNNNNNNNNNNNNNNNNNNNNNNNNNNNNNNNNNNNNNNNNNNNNNNNNNNNNNNNNNNNNNNNNNNNNNNNNNNNNNNNNNNNNNNNNNNNNNNNNNNNNNNNNNNNNNNNNNNNNNNNNNNNNNNNNNNNNNNNNNNNNNNNNNNNNNNNNNNNNNNNNNNNNNNNNNNNNNNNNNNNNNNNNNNUAAGAAUGUGAGGAUGUUGUAUUGAAUUUAUAAAGUUAAUAUAUUUAAAAAAAUAUAUUGCUAAACAAAUUAUUGUUAGAUUAAAUAAAUAUAAAUCAUAUGUUUCAUUCUACUUUUUUUUACAUGAAAAAUAAAUUACAGAUCUAUAGAUUAAAGAAUUCUAAAAUAAACCAAUAUAAAUUCCUACACCAAGUUGGAUUUAAAAAAAUAUAUAUUAUAAUUAAAACUCAUGUAAAACUCAAUUGUAUAUAAUUUAAUUUCAUAUUUUUAUAUACAACCAAUACGAAAUAAUCUAUUGAAGCAAUCCCAACACACGACAAAAUAUAUGAAAAUAAUUAAAUGCGCUAUGGUCCGUAUCUCUCUACACUAAUAACAAUAAAAAAAACAUAUAAGUAUAACACAAAAAGAAAUUAUGAAAAACUCAUGCAAAUUUUAAACAUGAAUAUAGUGAAAAAUAAAAUAAAAACUCGAAUUAAAAGAAGUAAUAAAAAUAAAUUGCAGCCUUGCAUAAUAAAAUGUACAUAAUUUUCAUGAUUAUUUUAUGCAAAUAACAAAGAAAGAUGAAAAACUAACUUCCUUUAUAAGAUAAGAGAGAGAGAGAAAGAGAUUAAUUUUUAAAAAAAUUAAUUUGAGUAUAUUCUUUUUAUUUUAAAGUUUUUUUACAUACUAUUAUAAAUUAAAUUAAAGCUCAUGUCAUGAUAUUUAAUUUGAUAUGCGUAUUAAAUUUUUUAAUUAAUUUAACUAUAUAAAUUUUAGAAAAAACAAACAUUCUACAAGUAAAAAAAAUAAAGAAAAUGAAACAAAAAAUUGAAAACUACGCAAAGAAAGAGAAAAAGAAAAAGAGAGAGAGAGAGAGAGACGGCUACUGUUGUAUUCAAAAAGAGAAAUGGGUUAAAUUCAAAAAGAAUAAUGGGAGAGAGAAAAUUUGACAGUAAACAGUUACUGUUGUACUGAUCUUUUAUAUUAUAUAUAGAUAUAAAUUUACUUAAUUAAUUUUUGUUAAAUAAAGUAUACUAAACUUGCUCUAUGAUUAUGUGUCACUUUUUUAUUUGUUUUUGGUCUAUUAAUUAAUUUCAUAUGGUAGCGAAUUGGAUGCAUUAUAUAAACGGAAUAAUAUGCAGAAUGACUUUGACUACACCUGAGCUAUGUUUUCAAAGAAGGGCCAAAAUUAUCGAGGGUUGUUUAGGGAGGAGAAGGAGCAAAAUUCAAAAUAUUGAAUAGCACUCCCAAAUGAAUAUGGUUUAGUAGGUUUGAUUUGGUUUUGUUCGUUUAUUUAUUUUAAUACACACGAUUCUUUAAUUGAUUGCGUACGGUCUUUUUCCCCAAAUAAAGGCGCUUUUCUCUGCCCUUUUCGAUCUAAAUAGUAAAUAUCGUAAUUAUUUUUAAUGUUAAUACCCAAAAACCAACCGAAAUUGGUUGAUUAUUUCGAUUGUUAUUACUUGUUCUUAUACAUUUAUAUUGUAUUUGACGAAGCUUUGCUGGAAUUCUAUUAAUUGAUGCUUACCCCCAAAAGUUGCAUAACUUACAUCCCAUUAUAUGUCAAAAGACUCAAAAUACUCUAAGCGAUAAACUAUGCCAUAAAGUAAUUAGUGACCAUAUAUUUCGUAAGUCUAUGUAUGCAUGCUUUUUUUUUUCUCUCUUUUUUGAAUUAAAAUUAUAAGAGGUAUCUAAAUAAUUAAAUAAGGUAUCUGCACGCAGAUGAGAUCUUUACACCACACAAAUGUGAAAAAUAAUCGCACGCAGUGGAAUCACUACACCAUAUAAAUAUAAAAAAAUUACACCGCAAAUGCAGACAAAAUUAAACUUAAGACCUCUUACAAAGGAGAAUCUUUAAAUGGCUCAGCUGUACUUCGUUCCUAAUUGCCACCCACAGAAUAAUAUCAAUGUGUCAAGAGUAAGAUUUGUAUAAGGUUUUCAAAUGCAUAUUUCUCAGUCUAGUACACAUCAAGCCGAACUGGUUCAGUGAUAUAGUGAACAAACUUUUCCAAUCAUUUGAUGUAAUCAAUCAAAACUGAGCACCAAAUUAUUUUUUUUUAGAGGAAAACGAACUUCAUUCAUUCAAAUCAGAACGAGUAAUAUCUACAAGCCAGGUAGGGAAACCCGACUUCCAGAUCAUUACAUCAUUACAAGAGAAAGCAAAGCGAGCGAGCUCGUGAGCCGCUCUAUUCGCCUCACGGCGAGCAUGAAAAAACUCAAGCACAAUGGAAUUUCGGGCAUGAUUAAAGGCCUCUAAGAGAUCAUCACUGAGCGAAUCGGAGCCCGAGUGGGAGUCAUGGAGCACGUGGAUCGCAAGGAGAUAAUCUGAAAAGCACACCACCGGGCCAAAGUCCUCCUGAAGACAGAAGCCAAUUGCGAGUAGCAUGACGUGAAGUUCCCCAAGGAGAACGGUCUCGGUGUAACCAACUGGCUGACAGCCAGCAGCCACGAUCUUUCCCGCAGAAUCCCGGAGAAUGAAGCCUGCUCCCAGCCGACGACCCUCUUCCUGAAAGGCGACGUCCACGUCGAGCCGAAAAACGUCCCGUGGAGGAGGAUACCACCAAAUUAUUACUAAUACAAAUUAUUGUUAAUUUUUUUAAUUAAAAAUAAAUAUUUCCUCCGUCCAUCCAAAAACUUACCACAAUUUCCUUUCCAAUUUGUUCACAAUUUUUUUUUUACUCUUAUUUAUAAUUAUAACAAAUUAUUACUUUCAUUUAUACUUUAUUAAAAUAUGUGUAAUCUACAAUGUAACAAAUUUUUUGUAAUCGAACUAAAUGUGAUAUAACAAUAUCUAUCAAUUAUAUUUAGUACGAAGUUUUCGGCCCAAGGACUAAGUAGUCCAAUAAGCCAAGUGGGCGGAUUUUAUAGGCUUUAUUCUUUUUCUUUUUCUUUUCUUUUUUUUGAGGCAAGGCUUGAUCAUUUUUCGAACGUCUAUUUUCGUAAUGCAAAUUCAAUCAUACUUUUCAUUUUAGGCAACUCGAAUUAGCCCAUCAAGCCUAGAAAAAGUAACUUAGUAGAAAUACUCCCUUUGUCCCAGUAUAAUAGUCAUGCUUUUUUUAGCAAGAAAAUUAAGAAAUUUAAUUUUUUAGUGUAAAAUUAUGUAAAAAUGUUUGAUAAAGACCACAUUAUUCGUAGUGUAAAAUUAUUACAAAAAAUAAAAACAAGACUAUUCUAGUAGGACAUCCCAAAAAAGAAAACAGGACUAUCAAAGUAGGACGGAGGAUGAAGUAAUACAAUUUGUUGCAUACUGGAUGGAACAAGACAAAUUAGUAUGUAUAUAGCUUCCAAAAACAUUUGAAACCGUUGUACUUCCUCUCAAGAAACAGAGCAUCUCUAGCAAUAAAUAUUCAUACACGUAGUUGUUAAAACACAUAAUUUAGUUUUGUACAUAGGUUUUGCAAAUUAAAAGCAAAUGGAGUGGAGGCGUAGACUAGAAGAAGCAGAGCAGGUCGCAGCAUUCAUCCAUCAAACAACAGCAACACAAGGCCGCAAGGCUGCACACAAACAAAUACAAUCACAUCCAUAUUAAUUAAUUCAACAUCACACUCACACAAAUUCAAUUCAAAAACACACACCAGCCUUCCAGGAAUCCGGGCUCCCUCUUCGGCGGCGGCGCCGCGUACUGCGGCGGCGCCACCACCGGCGGUCCCUGAUAGUAUCCUGUACCAAAAUCCACCCCCAAAUCACAACUAUCCAAGAAGGAAGCAAAAGUAAAUAUUUCACAUUUUCACAAACUCAAAUCUAAAGGGAGAUAUUAAUUACCUUGAGCAGGAUAGGGGUAAGCAUAUUUUGGUGGUUCAUUCAUUUCUAUGAUCUAUCAGGAUUUCCUACCAGGGAUUUACAACUCGCCUCUUUCUCUCUCUCUCUCUAUAAAUAUAGGAAUGUUUUCCUUAGUGGAAUGAAAGUUGUGGUGAGAAUAAUGAAUCAAAUUCUUUUCUUGUUUCCAAGGAAAUUUCUGGUGAGGAUGCGAUGAGAAAGCUCUGGAAAGGUUGGUUUCAUGUUGAAAUUGAAGACAUGUGGGCUAUACUCUGUUUCAUUAAUUUAUUAUGUCACAUACGUGGCAAUCUAUGAGUACAUCUACGUCCCUUUUAUUUUGUGAAUUCGCAUUUAAGACUUUUUUUGUAGCAAUUUAUCAACUCAUUCUUCGCACACUUAAUGGAUAACGCCAAGUUUGGGCCAAUUUCAUAAAUAUGCAAUAAUUUGGUUUCCCUGCCUCUUGGUUUGUUGGACCUGAUCACUUUGAGCCCAGCAAAUAUAUAUGAAUAUUAUCCAACCAAAAAGUUGCAACAUUUGUCCCUUGUACUAUUUGAAAACAAACACCAACCCAAAGAAAUCUUUUACCUACGAAUUGUGAUCUUCAAACUAAUUUUUGUUUUACUUUUAUAAAUUACACAAAUAAAUAAAUAAAGAAAUUUAAAGACUGCGCACGACGAUGGACUCUAAUCCAAGACCUCAGUCCUUGGAUAUUAACCACAAAUCGUUAAACCAACACACGCACACUGAUCUUUAAUAGUUUCUUCCUGCCGUGACGGAUAGCUAAGGGUGCCACCAUUCAUUCAUCUGCAAUCCUAAUUUUUAUAUAACUUAUAUAAUUUCACAUUAUUCUUUUCAAAUCUAUCAAUUUUUAUUCCAUUUUUUCUCUAAUAGUAAACUUACAAAUUCAACUUUUAUAUGAAUUCAUUGCAUGUGCUGUGAAUAAACAUGUCUAAUUGUGUUCAAAUUCCAUCGCUUCCCCUCCCCCAAAUUAAAAAAAAAAAAGCCUAAUUGUUUACGUAUAAUUGUGUGAAUUAAAAUGGCGUGUGGAGAGUUAUGUUUAUCGCAAUUUAAUGCAUUAGAUUUAGGAAGUAUCGGGAAUGAAUGAGAGGGAAUAACGUUGAGUUCCCAUGCAUGUAAAGAACUCACUCGUACGUGGGAGUCAAACGAACAUUUUAUAGCUUAAUAAUUAUUAAUAACUCGAGUCUCACUACUUGGAAUCGAGUACCAUUUAAACAAAUGAAAAUAGGCUUUCCAUGACUUGCACAACUUUUAUUAAUGAAUAAUGUUAAGACUUUAAUAACUUGUUUAAACCUCAAUAGCCUUUUUAUUCGAGCCAUCCUAUGCUCGUACAACAAGCCUAAUAAUAUGGUUAAGUCAUUAGGGUUAGGGAUGCAACGAGAUAUGGUUAUUAAACCAUGAUUAAAGACUUAGUAAAUGAUGCAUAAACUCAAUUUAAAAAAAAAUACUUCGUUACUCGUAAUGUGGAUUUAAUUUCAAUCCGAACUCAUCAAGUCCCUCUUAUGAAUGAAGGUCAUUUAACAGACUAAGAAGAAAGAUAUACGAGGCGACGAGUGCUGAAGUCAAGGAUAACAAGUCUUUUACGAGUUAGAAUUUUAUACCUAUUUGAGCACAAGUGAAUUCAUGUGUGUCGUCGAUCACAUAAGUUUUUUAUGAAAUGAUAGACUUCUCUACCUAAAAAUCAACAAGUUAUGCCUCAUACGUGGCAUAAUAAAUGUUUUUGAUAAAUGCUCAUUAACUAAUUUAAAGGGUAUUAGAAAAAUAUUUUGUAGAUGACUUAACCAAAAAAGAAAUUAAAAUUAGAAAAAAGUUUUGUUUUUACCUAUUUAGCCAUUUGCAUCCGAUACUUGAAGGGUACCUUUUUGCAUGCUUGAUCAUAAUGAUGUUGGUGGAAUCCGAAUCUAUUAAUUUCCCAUCACAAAAUUAUUGGCUACAUAAAAUAAAAACUUGGACAUAAUUUACUCGACCAUAUAUAUCAUGAUAUCGCCUUGUCUUCAAAGAAUGAUUCUAAGUUCCAAAACUCGUACAAGCUAUCUAAUCUACAAAACAGACGCUACCUUUCAAAACUUCAAGGAGUAUUGGCCUAUAAAUACAUCAACUUUCCCAAUUUUCUAGAAUUUAACACCAUCUUUAGUUUCUGCCCCAUAAUACACAAACUUUACUAUUCUUCUGGUUUUUCCCAUGACUAUCUUCUGAAAAUUCUAAAACUAUCCCCAACAAAAUAAAAAUUGCAGAAUAACCCCAACAAAUUACAAAACCAAGACAAAAUACCUUUUAAUUGUUUUUUAAACAGUUUAACACAUAAUCAGGCCCAACAUGCUUCCGUAACACUUCAAAAUAGAUCUAAAAUUAAACCAACAUUAUACCUUUAUCGACUGGUCUUCUUCAGGAGUCGGUCUUGUUGCGUUUUACGGCUCGUCUGCCCACCCAGCACGCACCAACCACACACUCGCAAGAGAUGGUUGCAACCCUUCUCCUUCACUAAGUGUCGACUAAAUACUUUGUUGGAAAAAUAAAGAAAAUAUUUUUACUCAACCCGGAAUAGUUGGACUAAAACUAAGCGUUUAUAGAGGAAUUAUAUAAUAAUUAAUUUUAUUUCAUAAAAACUCCCCAAGGGAGGAGACUAACUUGUUUAGCUACUCAUAGUAGCUAAUACUUGUGUACAUUAAAAUAAAAAGGAAACUAAACUAAAACGAAAAACUUUGAAAACAGAAAUAAAAAAACAAAGAUAAUUUUUAGAGAGAGGAAGUGGUGUGUGAGAAUGUGUUCUGAAUUCUCGAUGAUCUUCUUCUCUCCCUCACUUCGGUUUAUAUAGAGGUUUGAUCCCCUCUAUAAUUGCUUGGUUGUUGACCUCGGAUUCCAUCCUUGUGGCCAACUUGCUUGAAUAUGACAUCCACCUUCUUUUGUCGGCCUUGAUUGCCGACACUUGUUAGUGGCUUCACAUGGUGCUGGGCCCUUGCUCUAUCGCCUUGUGAUAAUGCUGGGUAGGGGCCGACUGUCUUUUCUUCCACUCUACUUUUGUCCUGGNNNNNNNNNNNNNNNNNNNNNNNNNNNNAAUUAAUCAUUGCGUCGAUGAUCAGAGUCAUUAAUUAAUAUGGAUUUAUUCGAGCCGAGUUACCUUUCUUUUGAUUAUUUUCUAGUGUUGAUUUUCGUUGAUUUAUUUAUUUUCUUAGUAAUUAAUUUUCUAUCACUUUAAGGCGUGGUGGCUACACCAAAAAUUAGAUCUUUAGGAAUUUGAUUGCAAUUACCCGUUCUCUGUGGUUCGACCCUGCUUGUUACUAUACUCAUUUAAUUCUUGGUAAGAUUGCAUGAAUUAUUUGUUGGGAACGAUUUUCACCAAUCAUCAAGAUUUACGGUUGAUUCAUCACCUUGUUGGAUAAAUUCAUGGUCCUGAGUUCGAAUCCCAAAGGUAGCAAAAAAUUAUUUUUCGCAAUUCAUACCAUUUAUACAGUUUAUUCAUGCGUGUUAUACAUAAAAUUCAUGUCAUUUUUUGCUGGUUCGUAAUUCUUAAAAUAAGGGUGGUUUAUAUAUAUAUAUGUGUGUGUAUAAAAAGAACCAUACUAUGAUUAGGGGUGAGCAUUCGGAUUUCGGAUCGGAUUUUUGCCUGAUCCGAUCCGAUCCGAAAAUCCGAAAUUUCUAAAUCAAUCCGAUCCGAACCGUAUUAUCCGAAAAUCCGAAUCCGAAAAUCCGAAAAAUUUCGGAUAAAAUCCGAUCCGAACCGAAAAACCCAAAAUGUGAAAAAAAAAUCGAAAUGUCAAAAAAAAUCCGAAAAUCGAAAAAAUCCGAAAAAUCCGAAAUAGAUUGACACCUAACAUAUUAGAUAAUUACAAUCAAAUUAAGGUCAUAAUUAACAAGCCAUAAAUUAUAAUCAACCAAAAUGGGAGUAUAGGGUUAGAAUUUAGAAAUAUUUAACUAUUUAAAAACUAAUAAUUAUAUAUAUUUAUUUAUAAUAUUAUAAUAUUAAUUAUAUUAUAAAUAUAAUUCGGACUUCGGAUUUUUUCGGAUUUUUAAGGUGCCAAUCCGAUCCGAUCCGAAAAUCCGAAAUUUGCUUAAAAUUCAAUCCGAUCCGAUCCGAAAAUCCGAAAAAUCCGAACCAAAUUAUAUAUAUAUAUAUAUAUAUAUAUAUAUGUGUGUGUGUGUGUAUAAAAAAGAACCAUACUAUGAUCACCACGAGUGCAUAUCUAUGUUUCAAAACAAUUAGUCAAUUAUACUUAAUAUAUAUACUACGAAUAUGGAAAUGGCAAUUGAAACUUUUUGCUUUUUUUUUCUUUUUCUUUUUUUGAGAAUUAUUUGUUGAAAUUAUUAAUGGCGGUAGAUGUCGUACGCCCAUCAGUAUGAAAUUGUCAUAUUUUUGUUUGAACUUUUGUUUUUUGGACAAUAGGAACUAUCCCAAAUAUUAGGAUCAAUUAAAAAGUGAAUAAUUGUUUAGGAGAAAGUGGAAGGAAUUUAAGAAAGUGAGUGGAAAUGGUGGGGCUUCGAUGUUGUCGACGCCAUUUCGCUUUGCAUUUCCUUACUAUAUUCUCUUAUCUCGAUAUGAUAUUUUUCAUGUCAAACCGGUAAUUUAAUUAGGUUAUAGUUUUAAUUGAUUAAGAGGGUGUUUCGGCCCACUAUGAAUUCAAUACUUGUAAUAACACACACAUCUUCAUAAUUGGGUAAUUCUAUACAUAGCCCCCAUUUUAUUCCUUAUAGCCUCUUUAUUUAAAAAAAUAUAAAAAAUAUUAAUGAAAAUACUAUCUUAUCCUUGCAGAACCUCAAAUUAAAUUAAUACUGUAAAUUCUGUUGCAGAGUUACAAAAAUGCAUAGCCCCCAAAUAUGAAAAACAGAUAAUGCGAAACGGCAACAUCAGGAAUGUUCUACAGAGAUUUAAAAUGUGAUUUUCGGAGGAGGCAAAAUCUGGUUCUCAUGACAACAAUUGUAUGAAAUUUACUUAUUAAUUUGAGCGUCCCAUCUGAGAAAUUUCCUAAUCUGAGACUGAGAGUGUUGAUAAGCAAUGCAAAUUUGAGGGAAAUAAAUUAUAUAUGUUGAUGAUUUUUGGUAUUAACAUAAUAUAAUUAUACUCCCUUCGCUUUUCCAUCUAAUACUUAUGGGUGGAAUGGUAUGAUUUGGCAGAGACAAAAAUUUGGAGAAGUUAACAAAUGAGCAAUUCGAUUGAUAUGUUGUGCAGAUAACUACUAUAAUAAUCCUUUCUCCAAAUUGAUGGAACCGUCUGCACUUGCCGGUAGCACCGCUUCCAACAACGAGAUGAGUUCCUCUUCUGCUCGAGAAAGGGGACUUCUCAAAGUGCAUUAUUGAAUUUCAUUAGAGUGGGCAAUCCUUCUUCAACCAUUUGGACGAUAUCUAUGUUUCGUCAUACUUUUAAGGGUGGUAUGAUAUUUCUCAGAUUCGAGACUGUGUAUUUGCUUCAUCGAAAUUUCUAGGUAAAAUUUGAUUGUUUAUGAAAGGGUAAAAUAGUACUUUAAUAAAUUACUUUUAAAUAAUGAGGCUAUAAAGAGUAAAAUGGGAGCUAUGAAUAGAAUCACCCUUUCAUAAUUUCUUUACAUAUUCUAAUCAGAGACUUGCACAAAUUAGCAGGAGAAAAUUCAACGAAUUCAAAAUUCUUCCAAAUCUUAAUUUUAGUCGUUGUUUUAUGCGUGCUCAACCUAAUUCUAUAUUUUUUUUUCAGCAGUUCUUGACUUGUCUCAAAACAUAAAAUUGCAAUUUUAAUCGUUGAACAUGAAAUCAAACAUUACUAUGAUAACUUUGUCUAUGCAUUACUCUCCACUUACCUCUUCUCACUUGAGCAUCCACAGAGUGUUCCCUUAGCCACAUCAGUUUUAUUUUUAGUUUCAAACUUCAGUCAUUUCAAGCGACUUAUACAAUGUGUUGAUUUUUGCAAAAGAAAAUCGAUUUUCUGUGAGAUUCAUCAUUUUUCACAUUUUAGAUAGUUAUAUUUUUCAAAAAAAAAUAUGGUAAUGUUCGAGAGGGUGAACUGAUCGGCAUUAGAGAAGCGCUUUCUUGGUUGAAAGAUUUGGGCUUCCAACGGGGUGGCUGGAGACAUAUUGCAAAGAGGCCUGUGCAGCAAUUCAGUCCGAAAAGAGGAAUAUUGCCGAGUGUGGUGUUAUAGCUUAGCACUGUCGAGAGUUGCUGCUCUUGCUUCCUGGUUUUAAUGUAAAGCAUGUUAGGAGAGAACAUAAUGCUAUCGCUCAUGGUUUAGCGAAAGCGGCGCGAGAUAUCAAUUCACUUCAUGUUUGGAAUGAACCUCCGGAGUGUGUGGCGGGUCAUUUCCAUGUUCCAUGUUCAUGUGAUCAAUAAAAUAUCUUCGCCUUCUCAAAAAAAAAAAUAUGGUUAUUUGAUUUUUUUGCCCACAUAAUUAGAGUGAUCCACUUUGAAUUAGUGGUCAAUAAUUGCAUGGGUUUUAAUGAUAAUGCUAUAAAGAUAUGGAUAUUUAUAUAGUGGCUCAAAUUAUAACAAUAAUAUAUUAUUGAGAUUUGGGAUAGACGAUGUAUAUAUGAUCGAAAAAGAAUAUAUAUGUGUUUAAAAUAAAUGUUUUUAGGAACACUCCUGUGCAGCUGACGUGUCACGUGUGUAUGCGGCAAUAUAACAAAAUUUCUUUUAUAAAACACUUGUGAAUGCACUAUUAUUGUGUGCAUCAAUAUUAAAAAAAGUUUUAUUUAUUCGUAAACAUAGACUACAUAGUCUUCUUUAAUUCUAUAAAAGGUCUAGACACCAUUUAAACAAAGUCACAGUUAUAAAUAAUAAAAAUCCAUGUCACAUACAAAUUCUAUAAAACAUUAAUGAAUAUAUAUGUUAUUAAAAUGUGUGUUACUGCUACAUGCUCGCUAUUAUGCCACAUGCAAGUUUUUGUCAAUGUUUUUAGGUAGAUUCCACAGUAAAAUUGAAAAAGUGACAUGAAAAGUAGAACAAGCAUUGACCUGAGCUUUCCAAACAUAUAUAUUCCAUUUACCUUCAUAUUUUAGAUAUUUUGAAAGAAUAUACUACCUUCAUCCGCAAAUGAGGCGUUUGAUUUGAGUAAUAAGGUAUUAUUGUAAAAUAAUUUAUUUUAAUUAAGUGUUUCAGUGUUUAAUUUGUAUGAUUAAAUUUGUAAUUAAUAAUUUGGUCAGCAUCUAGUCAUCUAAUUGAGUGAUUAUUCAAUCACCCCAAAAUUAGGUGAAUUAUUUAAUCACUCCUCUAAUUAUAUUAAUCUUGUCUAUUACAUUCACCACAUCUAACUCCCCCAAAGAGUACACAAUUUUUAGUUCCGACACAAGUUUUAAUAAACUAGUUAAUGGAUGCAUCUUUAGUAGAUAAAUGAUCUUACAAUGUAAAAUUGAUGUGGUUGUGAUUGAAUUGAGCAAUGGGUCAUAUGAAUUUUGGGUAAAUAAAGGGUAUUUAUAAGGGUGAAAUAUAAAAGGAGAAAGUAGGAUCAUGUCUAAAAAAAAUACUUUAUGUGAAUACUAAAUAAAAUUAUAUACUCUUUGUGGACGUAGUUAGUAUUCUCUAGUGAUGUAUUGUAAUCGAGAAACUCGCGUAUACAUAUAACAUAAAUAUUUUUUUUUGCUAAUAAUAAUACUCCCUCCGUCCCAAUAAAAGUGGCCACAUUUCCUUUUUGGGUGUCCCAUUAAAAGUGGCCACUUUCCAAAUAAGGUAAUUAUUUGGCUUAAUUAAGUCCAUUAACUUAAGUCUUAAUCCUUCUUUAAUUUAACCUAUCAGCAUCAUUUCGUCUCACUCAUCUCUCUCUCUACCGCGGACCUCCCCUCCCCCCCCCUUCUUCUCCGGCGAGUAUCAGACGACACCAGCGCUGGCGUCGGUCGCCGCCCCCGACCUCCCUCACCCUGGCCUCUGCUCUCUCCCUCUCGCCCCACCCCUGAUGUCACCGCCGCUCGUUCUGGGUUUUCCUCGAAUCGGAGGGCCGCGAGGGCAGCGCAGGUUCGCUCUUCUCCGGCCGUCUCAGCCGCCGGUGAGGCUGCCUCCCGAGGACGCCGUUGCUUUCUCAGUUUUCUCUCUCAGUUUCUCAAUUUGUGAAACAUCAAGAGAGCCCUAAUUUUCUCCUCUGAAAUCGAAAUCGCCACCGCCCUGCAAUCUCCGGCGUCGUUGUCGCCUCAAGGCCGGCGUUGCUCUGCCUUAUCCCGGCAUCUCUCCCUCGCGCUCCUUCUUCCUCUCUCUGUAAUUCUGGAGUCGCGCUGCCGCCUGGUCUCUGUAAUUCCGGCGAGAGAGCGAGCCCUUGCCUCUCUGUAAGAUCCCGUCUGAAUCCCUCUCAGAAACCACCGCCUCUCCGCCGCUCUGUAACUUCCGUCGAAGUCGACAUCGUCGUGGGAUUUGAGAUUUUGCUUCAUUUUUAGUUUGAGAUUUGCUUCAUUUCUUGAAAAUUUUUGCAAGAUUUGAGAUGAUUUGCUUCAUUUCUUGCGGUUUGCCUCGUUUUUGUGGAUGAUUUGUGCUGAUUUUUUUGUGGAUUUGGGAUGAUUUGUGCUGUUUUUUUGUCGAAUUGAUUUGGCUAAACCCCCUUCAUUUUUGUGGAUGAUUUUUGCCAUCGCCGGAAAGUCUGAUUUGGGGAUGAUUUCAAGCGGCUGGUUCGACGGCUGAUUUCAGGCGGCUGGUUCGACGGCCGACCGCCGGCGCCGGCCACUGUCGCUGUCGCCCAGAUUCAGUGAGAGGAAGAAGAAGUUUUAAUUAAAUCCUUAAUUUUGGUGGACCACAAUUAAUUAAACAUAACUAUCUCCUUCUUAAUCUCCGUGCCCAAAAAAAAGUGGCCACUUUUAUUGGGACGGAGGGAGUACAAUUUUUUUGUGUUAAUGGGCAAAAAUGCCCCAUCCCUUAUGUGUUUUUUGAAAUUUUUUUUUGUAAAAAUGCUCUCUCUUAUCAUAGAAAGCAUUCUAUGCCCUAAACAUGUGAAGUGCCUAAUUACCCGUUGAUGUUGAUGGGUUUGCUUGGUUUUUUAUGAAAGUCUUACACAUUUGACCGAUUUGACAGUCAUCGGUCAUAAAAGUCAACAAUUUGACAGCUACCAGUCAAUAGUACAUAUGAUCGGUGGGUGGCUAGAUCAUGUGUCCGGCCGGUGAAAUCAUGUGUCCGCCUUGCCGGACACAUNNNNNNNNNNNNNNNNNNNNNNNNNNNNNNNNNNNNNNNNNNNNNNNNNNUUAUGUAUUUACUAUAUAUAUAUAUAUAUAUAUAUAUAUAUGUUAUGCGUGUUUUGGUGUUUAAGUCGAUUCGCUUUAUUUAUUUUAUUCAGUUUAUAUUUUUUAAUUCAGACACACACACACACACUAUAUAUAUAUAUAUAUAUAUAUUAUAUACAUAUAUUUAUGUGCUUUCAUUGAUUUAAACGUAUUUUAAUUAUGAUUUCAUAAUUCAUUUUAGGAACGACGCGCGAGACUUAAUUAUUUGAUUGCAAGUUUUAUUCAAGAAAAAUAAAGGUGGGAUUAUAACGUUGCAUUUAACAUUUAUCCUUAUUAUACGUUUUACUCAAUUUAUAUGUGUGAGAAGCAGGCAGAGCCUCCGGGCUAUGAAACAGAAAGUUAUAACCUACGGGUUAUAUGAGACAGAAAGUUAUAGCAUUCGGGCAAUACAAAAGAACAGAUAGUUUUAUUGCACUUAUAUUUUGUUGUGAUUCUUAUAAUAUGGAUAAAUGCAUCCCCCACUGAGUUUAUUGUACUCUCCCCAAAACAAUAUUAUAUCUUUUCAAGAGACGACUCGGGUGAUGAAAGGCGGGAGUGUGAUGGUGGUCAAGAAUAAAGAAGAAAUAAUGUUUUAUUUUCAUUUAGAAUAAAGACUCAGUUUAUGAUGUUUAUUUACUUUUCUCUGUUGGAUUUGAGUUUUAGUUAUUUAAAUAUUGAAAUCUUAUUUUUUUUAAAUCAAAGUACUUCUUUUUAUUUAAUAAGAAAAUUGGGGCGUCACAAUAACAGCCUGGAAAUCUUGCUGAAAUGUUUCAGUUAUAUUGAUUAAUUUCCUCUAGAUUAUGUUUUAUUUUAUGUUUUUGAUUGAUUGCUACAUUUAUCACUACUACAGAAAAGCUAAUAGACAUUCGGUAUUACAUAUUGUCUAUUAAAGAAAAUGUCUGUUGUUGUAAGUGGUAGUAUCGUAGGUGCUUGAAACAAGGUGCUCAAAGACCACAUACAUUGCCUGUUGUCAUAGAUAUUUAUGACAACAUACAUUGUUUGUGGUCUUUGAGAGCAUAUAGUCUGUUGUUGUAUCAUUAAUAUCACUAUGGUUUUGCGAGUAGUGUCGUAGGUGCCGAUUGUCUACCACACUAGCUUUUGUCUGUUGUCGUAGUAGAAAAAUACCCAUUUUUUUUACUGUAUACCACCUCAAUUUUUGAACGGUUUCAUAGGUCCCAAAAAAAUCAUGCUCUUUUAUAAUGUUAAAAUCGAUUAAAUCCUGUAUUUAUAAGAAUUUAUUUCCUGAAAAUUCAAUAUUUAUUUAAAAGAAUGAGAAAAUCAUUUUCAUUUAUAACAUAAUCAUUAUAAAAUCUCAAUAUUCAUUACAACUUAAAGAUUCGACCAAAUAAAUUCUACCAUAUUCCAUUACAAAAUAUUUAAGUUAAAUUCUAACAAUAACUAUAACUAAAACAAGUAAACAUAUGUGGAUCCACUACCAAAUAAGUUCAAUCCUAACAUUCAAAUGAGUUAACACUUAUCGCUCCUUCGUUCAUUCAAAAUGCGAUGCAUCACCAAUAUGUCCAAUGUUGUCUAUUUUGCUAGUACCACUACAUAUAUAAUUGUUAAGUACAAAUAUAUUCUUGCCAAAGAUUGUAGAGAACCAAUCGUCCAAGGACGACUAUUUAUCACUAUGUCUCUCAUGUACUUCAUCCCAUAGAAACCACAGUUGUUUGGGAACCUACAUUAAUUUUUCAUUAAUAAUGAAUAGUCGUAAUUCCACAAAUUAUGUUUGGUUAAAUACCUUGAGUAUUGUCCAUUCAUGCUUCUUUUUCUCAUUCUUUCCCUUCUCCAUAUUGAACAACCUUAAGGCCUCUCAUAUAUAAAAAAUAACGUAAUUGCACGCAUUGGCAAAAUAUGCUAGAAAUAAAAUAUAAACAUAUUUUUACGAAACAAAACUUACAAUUCCACGACUUGUUUCCAAAUUUUAUCAUGAUUUCCUUUAUAGAGGGAAUCCAAGAUAUCAAUCUCUCUCUUAUUAGGGUCAAUGACCGUAAGAAUCCAAUGAUAACUACUUUUAAGCACACAAGACUAGAGGAAUGUAAUUAAUAUUAAAAUUUAAAUAGCUUAUUAAUAAAAUUUAAAUAGCGCGAGAAUUCUUACUCCACAUUACACGGAGCUAAGAAAAUUUGAUUGAUUUUUGUAUCAAUCAAUCUUUUUGACAAUUCUCAUGCUCUAAAUUCCAUAACCUCAUUCACAGUUUUUGCAUCCUUUUUCGUUGUUGGAAUAUAGCCUAUAUUCAAUGGGUCAACAAAUCUAACCAUAUCGGUCCAAGGUAACCUAUUUAACUUGCGGUGUAGGAAGCUGCAAACGGAGAAAUAAGACUACAAGCUAAUUCAUACCCUAGCCUAUAUUUGAUAAGUAAAGUUAAAAUUUGUAAUUACCUGUCGCGGCCCGAUCUCAAUGUUAGUAAUAGCGGAGUCCGAGUAUCGAUACGACGAUAAUAAAAGAAUAAAAAGACAAGAAGAACUAGAUUGAACAUCAUGCGGAAGCUCACAUCAAAGCAUGCUAAGGCAAGACAUCAUAGAUCAACUCAAGGGUAUAAACGUAAACAUCGUCAUAUUUCCAUAAAUAAUAGGAUUCUCAUGAACAAAAACAAACCAGGUAUAGCUCAAAAUUCAUAAGGAAGACAUAUGUAUGAAGACAUAUAACCGCGAGUAAAUUGCUUGAUUAAAAAGAAAACAAAGUAUCUCAUCAUUAAGGUUUUAUCAACAUUCAAAAGAAAGUAUAGUGUAUCAUCGUUAGGACUAUCAACAAUGGAAUAACAGUAAGGGAGAUACAUCAGUCAAAACAAUCCCCCGCCAGCACUAGACCAAUCUCGCUCCAUCGCUUAACCUGUACAUUUAGGAAUGUUUGGUGGUAAAUUAGGUUUAGGCUUGGUUGAGAAAAACUUAGGGGCCCAUUAUUGUUAAAGCUAGUUUGGUAAUAUAUAAUUGUGUUUGAUAGCUAAGUUACACGACACUAAUUUAACUCUUGGUUGUUUGGUAGCCAAUUGUAACUGAUGGAUUUAAUAAUAAAAUGCCCCUAUUACCCUCAUUCAAUUUUAAUAUUUCCACCCGUAACCUACACAUAUGAUUGAUUGUUUUGUGGAUUUAUAUUAAUUGAUUCUUCAAUAAGAUUCUCCAUAUGCAAGACUGCAACCAAGCCAUAGACUCGAAAUUUGUUCAAUAAAACCAAAUUUAAUAAAAGAAGGGAAAUAUAAAGAAAAAUAAUCAAUACUUGAUCAUGAGGAAAAUCCAAACAUAUAUUGCUCAAAGAAAUCAACUUGAUACACAAAAUUGUCACUUUGUACAGAGGUGGGAAACAGGAAGCAAAUGAAAGCUCCUAUACUAUAUAACAAUCACAAGCAAUUACAUGUUUCUUAGAAUAUAAUGCACACACUAAACUAAUCUUUAUAUGCUACCCAGUAAAAAGAGAAAACUCAGAUGAUAUAUUGAUAGUCAUGAGAAUCCCGAAACUAUUUCCGAUGUCUUCCUUUGGCUACUUGUAUGCUUCAAGAAAAUUCUGCUCGACUAAAGGCGAGAUGUCAUUUUAGUUAUAUGACUGCGUGAUACGAUCCUUGCCGAUCAAUCGAACACCACGCAAACGGAAGACUUGAAAAACGAACGGAAGAUGGAAUCCCAAAACCUCUGAAUCUAACCCACGGAAUGAUAUAGGCGACUGAAUGCCCUAUACCCCAACGUGAUGUUGACGCAGCAACUCGGGGACGCUGAAUGACACCCGACGAGGGUUGGUUGACUCGCCGUUACGUCGAUAAUUGAAUUCGUCUUGGAAUAAUCAAGAGGAAUUCGGAAUUCUUAAGAGAGAAAUAAAACUCACAAGUUUAUUGAUAAAAGUAUGCUCAUUUUCGUCCAACAUAAGAAGGCCUAUAUAUAGGCAAAGACUAACCCUAAUCUAAGAAGGAAACAACUUAACUACCAAGCAAAGAAGCCCUAAUUUUCGUCCAUCAUAAAGACUACAAAUAAGGUAUGCGAAAACCUUACCAAACUAGGAUAAUAAACAUGGAAAAUAACUCCUAAUCUAAUAAGGAAACAUAUCCUUAGUCAAAACAAGGUAUAAAACUCAAAAUUGACUCAACUAAGGCCUAAUUUCAGCCACCCUAACAUAACCCACGAAAAUUAUAAGAUAAAACAAAAUAAAAGACUCUAUUAAAUCAGCCCACAUAUGCAACGUAACUUGGGCCUCCAUGGCAUGCAUCAUUCCCCUCCUCUUGAAAGGGAUUUGUCCUCAAAUCCAAGUCGUCAAUCCAAAUGCCGGGAUCAAAAAUCAAAUUUUCGUUCCUUGCAUUAAUUGACUGUUGGACCAUAGCUUUUCUCCCUUGUGCAUUAUUCUUCUUCUUCGGCUCUAACUCUGACUUCUCUUGAACCUUGAACCGCAACACAAUGAUCAGCCUCUCCUGCUUCACGGCCACAUCCAAUCACAAGCCCUUGCAAGAAAUGACUUCUGCAUAAACCCAAACUCCUUUUUAUCUAUGGGCUGCUCCUUUUCAACGCCCUUAGCUUGCGUCAAAGCCUUUGCUUCAUAGGUCGACUACAAUUCUAGCCUAUCGAACGGACUCCUCACCUUGAUAACCACCACAACCUCCACUGCAACCUGCAUCUCCUUUUUCUCCACCGGCUGCUCCCUAGACAUCACCUCAUCCGCCUCCAUGUGCAGUUGCUGCAGUUGCAAGUGAUCCUCAUAAAUUUGUGAGAACUAAGGGAACAAGUGCCAACUUCUUUUGCUUAUACGCGAAGGAGUACUUAUUGGUGACUCCAUCAUGAAUAGCUCGUCUAUCAAACUGCCACGGUCGACCCAACAAAAUAUGGGUCGCCUGCAUGGGAACAACAUCGCACAAAACCUCAUCUUCAUACCUCCCAAGCUAAAAGACACUUUCACUUGCGUGGUAACCUCGACGACGCCGGGCGCAUUCAACCAUUGCAAACGAUACGGCUUGGGGUGAUGCAACUCGGGCAGCCCCAAUCACGCCACCAUGAACUACUCACCACAUUCGUGCAACUUUCGCCAUCAAUGAUCACACUGCACAACUUGUCGUGGACAAGAACUCUCGUGUGAAGAAAUUCGCCCACUGCUCACUCUCAUGGGAUCCGAAACCUUGACACGAACGACACUCUGAUCUCGAUUGCAACCAUCAAAAACUGCCGGAUGGCCGUGAUUUGCAGAACUGACACUCAUACUCUCUCAAGAACGUAAAGACCCAAACAGAAAACAAACACAGGAUAAUUUCGACCCUUACGAAACCUGGAAAACUGAUACCAGAUGAUAUGAUCCUUGCCGACCAAUCGAACACAACACACACGGAAGACUGAACUUGAACGGAAAGGAUGGAAAUCCCAAAACCUCUGAAUCUAACCCACGGAAUGAUUUAGGCGAACGAACCCCUAAACCCAACGUGAAGUUGACGCAGCAACUCGGGGACGCUGAAUGACACCCGACGAGGGUUGGUUGACUCGCCGUUACGUCGAUAAUUGAAUUCGUCUUGGAAUAAUCAAGAGGAAUUCGGAAUUCUCAAGAGAGAAAUAAAAACUCACAAGUUUAUUGAUAAAAGUAGGCUCAAUUUUCGUCCAACACAUAGGGAGCCUUAUAUAGGCAAAGGCUAAACCUAAUUUAAUAAGGAAACAACUUAAAAACAAAGCAAAGAAGCCCUAAUUUUCGUCCAUCAUAAAGACUACAAAUAAGGUAUGCGAAAACCUUACCAAACUAGGAUAAUAAACAUGGAAAAUAACUCCUAAUCUAAUAAGGAAACAUAUCCUUAGUCAAAACAAGGUAUAAAACUCAAAAUUGACUCAACUAAGGCCUAAUUUCAGCCACCCUAACAUAACCCACGAAAAUUAUAAGAUAAAACAAAAUAAAAGACUCUAUUAAAUCAGCCCACAUAUGCAACGUAACUUGGGCCUCCAUGGCAUGCAUCACUGCGAUCCAUGGAAAAGGAAGUUCUGCAGAUCAAUUUUCCACUAGAAGAAAACUGACAUCUCACAUAUCCACUAGAAUGUUACUAGUGGAUGAUCUCAUGAAUCCGGUCUACAUUAUUUUACAGAUGCAAGAAUCUGACUCGUCCUUUUCUGAGUCGCUCAUAUCACUGCAAGGUAAAAGAAUGGAACAUUACAUGAGGCAAAUGACAAGCAAUUAUAUAUUCAUUUGUAGCAUCAGUAGAGAACCUACUGCUAAUGUAAAGUAAAUUUGUUUCACUUUAAAUGAAAUGGCUUCCAUACACUUGAAGCUUAAGAGAUAAGUUCUUAAUAAGGUUUGAAACUUAUAAUGAGCAUCAUACAACACCAAUUGAAGAGCAAAGCAAAUGUUAGAUAAGUUCUGAAUAAUGUCUUAAACUACGCAGUUCAACCAAUAUUGACAUUACCCUUAUCACAUAGUAUAACAUAUUGACAACCUCCAUAUAUAUGGUUUAUAGUUUUGUACCUCAAUAUUUUAGAAACAAUAAAAUGAUGAUUAAAUGUUGAACACCAUAGUUGCAGAUCCUCAUCAAUUUCAGUUUAAAUCUACGAUAUGUCAUANUUAUCGCUCCUUCGUUCCUUCAAAAUGCGAUGCAUCAACCAAUAUGUCCAAUGUUGUCUAUUUUGCUAGUACCACUACAUAUAUAAUUGUUAAGUACAAAUAUAUUCUUGCCAAAGAUUGUAGAGAACCAAUCGUCCAAGGACGACUAUUUAUCACUAUGUCUCUCAUGUACUUCAUCCCAUAGAAACCACAGUUGUUUGGGAACCUACAUUAAUUUUUCAUUAAUAAUGAAUAGUCGUAAUUCCACAAAUUAUGUUUGGUUAAAUACCUUGAGUAUUGUCCAUUCAUGCUUCUUUUUCUCAUUCUUUCCCUUCUCCAUAUUGAACAACCUUAAGGCCUCUCAUAUAUAAAAAUAACGUAAUUGCACGCAUUGGCAAAAUAUGCUAGAAAUAAAAUAUAAACAUAUUUUACGAACAAAACUUACAAUUCCACGACUUGUUUCCAAAUUUUAUCAUGAUUUCCUUUAUAGAGGGAAUCCAAGAUAUCAAUCUCUCUCUUAUUAGGGUCAAUGACCGUAAGAAUCCAAUGAUAACACUUUUUAAGCACACAAGACUAGAGGAAUGUAAUUAAUAUUAAAAUUUAAAUAGCUUAUUAAUAAAAUUUAAAUAGCGCGAGAAUUCUUACUCCACAUUACACGGAGCUAAGAAAAUUUGAUUGAUUUUUGUAUCAAUCAAUCUUUUUGACAAUUCUCAUGCUCUAGAUUGGAUAACCUGAUUGACAGUUUUGAUGUUUUUGUGUUGGGAUAUAGGGUGUGUUUGUGUGUGUUUACUUCACUUUGUUGGUCCUUGGUAACAUUUAACUUGUGUGAGGAAGUUUGAGAUUGAGUAUUAAGUCUUCCUGCUUUUUCAUACGCUAGCCUAAGAUGAGUAAAGUCUAUUUGUCAAGCUGUCGCGCCCUCUCCAUGUUCGUAAUAGCGGAGUCCGAGUAUCGAUACGCGAUAAUAAAAGAUAAAAAGACAAGAAGAACUAGAUUGAACAUCAUGCGGAAGCUCACAUCAAAGCAUGCUAAGGCAAUGCAUCAUAGAUCAACUCAAGGGUAUAAACGUGAACAUCAUCAUAUUUCCAUAAAUAUCAUGAUUCUCGAAGACAGAUACAAACGAUAUACCCAGAUCAUAAGGUAUCAUAAAUUCAGAUCUCGAGAAAAGGUAAUGAUCAUAUGUAUGAAGACAUAUAAUCGCGAGUAAAUUACUUGAUUAAAAAGAAAACAAUGUAUCUCAUCAUUAAGGUUUAUCAACAUUCAAACGAAAGCAAAGUAUAUCCGUUAGGAAUUAACAUGGACUAGCAAACAGCGAUAGACAGUUAAUCAACAAACUAGACCAAUCUCGCUCCAUCGCUUAACCUGUACAUUUAGGAAUAUAUGCAGGGCAUGAGUAUAUAAUACUCAGCAGGCAAACACUGAAAAAAUAAGAAAAGCUGCUCUUAGAGCUAUAAGUUUGAAACUUGCCACAUCUCAGCAAUACACAGGAAUAAAUUAGCGUAAAUGAACCUGUGUAAGCAGUUUUAAUAAUCAUGACAUCAUAUAGAAACGACUGCAGUCAAAGAUCUCAACAUGUAUGCACCACAUCUACAACUCAUCAUCAUCAAAGGUAUUGAGAAGUAGACCUCCCUCUCAAGUACCGUGACCGGCCGACCCGAAGACGGCUCACAGUCACCUCUGUGCACAAAAUCCCGUUUGUGGCAGGACUGAAUUCGUCUCAUCUCAUCAGUAGAGGGUAACAUACAGGCUCAACAUCAAAAAUUGGCAAGUCAAACAGUUUUCAAACAUCACUUAUCUCAAAACAUUUGAUAAGCUCAUAUCAUCAUCAAAUCAUUUUAGAAAGCUCAUAUGAUAUAAGAAUACUCAAAAUAUUGCCAACCUGAAGUCCUUCGCUUAAGCUCGGAAAGAAAACAGGCGACUUACUUCUUCGUCUCGCUCGGGCCUUCAUAUAUCAUCAUCAUCGUCAUCGAAGGUUCACGUGAUAAAAUACACCUUAGUUAGAAACUCAUUUACUAAAAUCUAAACUCGUCUCAAGCUAGAACUAUUCACUCAUCUUCUAUUUACCCAAAUAAAUCUCAAUCUCUAGGUAUACUUAACUCCUAAGGAUUCAUAAGUCCUACUCUCGACUUAACACUCAACUCGGAUUAAACUCAUAGCAAUCAAGCACACAGACAUGCAUAAGCACAAUAACCAUACAAGUUCACACAUAGACAUGUCACAAAUAAACAUCAUUGUGCAUUUUUCACAAAUUAAAGACCUCACUAGACUCGGUACAGAACUCUACUGGAUUCGAAACUUAUACCAUUAGAAACCUCUUUGAGUCUAGUUUCUUUCAAAAAAAGUAGGAUGAAAAACUCCAAGUAGUUUAGGAGAUAUGACUGUUUUCCUACAGUCUACCAUAUUUGGCAGUUUUGAGCAAUUAAAAGUUUUGAUUUUUGAAAAAUAGUAAACAUUGCCAAAAAGGCUUGAAAUUUUACCAGUAUGCUCAAGACUCUCAUAUAUACUUUCCAUAAAAUUUUCAUGGUGUUUGGGUAACAAUAACUUCACGAAACAAUAGGUACAAAAGAAUUGUAAAACGACUCCACAUUCAACAAACAGGAAAACAUGCCCAAAGAUACUCAAUUACUCACAAAUGGCCUCAUGCAUCACAUAACUCAAUACAUUUGCAUAGACUCUCCCUUAUUAUGCAAACUAAACUCAAUCAAACAUUUAUAUAGUCAAUGCUUGACCUAACCAAACAUCAUUAACUCUAACAUGCUCAAACUUUAUAUUUUUUUAUGAAAACUCUUCAAAACUCAUUUUAAACUCUUAUAACGCUCGAGAACAUCAAUACAAAAACAUUUGACUUAUUAGACUCAGCUCAGUGGCCAGAGCAGAGAUUAUUCGGUAGCCAGAGUAGUGUGAGUUUAACAGAAUGAGCAGAAUUAGCUCGGAUGCCAGAGCAGAAUAGCUCGGCAGAGCAGAGAAGAAUAGCUCAACAGAGCAGAGCAGAAUAGCUCAGCAGAGCAGAGGAGAAAAGCUCGACAGAGCAGAGCAGAAAAGCUCGGCAGAGCAGAGUUGAAAAGCUCGGCAGAGCAGAGCUGAAAGACUCGGCAGAGCAGAGCUGAAUGACUCGGCAGAGCAGAGCUGAAUGACUCGGCAGAGCAGAGUGGAAUGACUCGACAGAGCAGAGCAGAAACAACUCGCCAGAGCAGAACAGAAACAGCUCGGCAGAGCAGAAAGAGAACAUCAAUCCAACCUUAGAUCUAUCAAUUCAAGCCACUUAAACACAUACAUAAAUCAUCAAUUAACAAUUUAGGCAUAGAUACACAUAUACCUAAUUUUUCAUCAAACUAACUCACAUCAACAUCCUCAAAUUACAUCAUAUCCUCAAUAUAGACCAUCAAUCAUCAUCAAAAACACAUCAUAAUCUCAUGCUCAUCAUCAAUUUAUUGUUCAAACCAUAACCUCAAAGAUCUCCCAAUUUUAGGUCAAACUAAACUAUGCAAAAAUUUGCAUCACAAGACCAUGCUUUGCAAUACACACAUCAAUCAUCUCAAAGCACCUCAUUAACAUAUUUCUCACCAAUUUAAGAAAGAACAAGAAAGAUUUUUGAAGGGAAAAACUCCCUUUUUCGAAAAUCUCACAAAAGGGGUGAAGGGGGUGUUUUCUUGCUUCAACAUCCAUAUAAGCACACAUAGAACAUCAUGUAAACCGUACUUUUCCUAUGUAAAGAUCACUUACCCAAGAUAACACUAAGAACAAAAGUUUCUCUUUCUAACUCCAAGACUAAACUCUAAGGAUCUCUUGAAUUUAGGAAGUAGAAAGUGUUUAGGUCUUGAUUUAGUGAAGGAUUUUGCUCUUGGUAUGAUUCUAGGAAGCUUUGGAGGUCUCUUCAAUGGUGGUAAUGGAGGAAGAAAUCGAGAGAGAGAGAGAGAGUGAGAGGGACGAAAAUGAUGGUGUGAGGGAGAAGUGAGAUAAGCUUUGUCUUGUUAAGGAAGAAUGAUUAGAGACAAAGUACUAUUCACUCAUUAAUGCUUUGUCUCCCAUAUUCUCUACACUCUAAUCCACUCCACUCGUCCACUUGCCACUUGACAAAAAGAAUUAAGCACAUGUCUUAAGAAUUAAAUAACUCAUUGGGAAAAAUAUAUAUAGUGUAGGAACUUAAGUCAUGGAAAAAUUAGUCACUAAUUAAUGACAUGUUAUAGCACAAAACUCUUGUGACCAAAAUUAAAAUAAAAUAUAGCACUAAUAUUAGUGCACUCACUCAAUUUAUAAUAUUCAUCAUUUUAGGAAAAAUAAUUUGAAAACAUAUUUUGGAAAAAUUUAUAAAUCGACACUUUUUGAUUUCUCGAUGAAAAUAAAUCUCGUUUGUUUUGAAAACUCAAAAUAAAACUCACGUGCUAUCAUUCUAAAAAAAAUCAUAAUAACUCACUCAUAAAUGCGCACGUAACAAAAGUCACGUAAUCAGUCAAACAAAUAGUCUCAGAUAACAUCACAUCAAGACAAACCACAUUCAACGACAAACAAAUCAUCUCUCACAUCGACUCUUCUCUAUAGGGGUUCUCGCUCUUUUUCUCAACUCCAUUUCUAACUCGUUGUUCCUAUUAACAUAAUAGGUCAGUCAGUCUCACCGGUAGUUCUAUAUCCGGUCUCGGAAAUAUAAUAUAAUCUCUUCUCAAUUCAAUCAGCAUCUCUAACUCAACUCGUUUUCUCAAAGCUAUUCACUUUCUAACUCCGUCAUUGGUUCUAACAACUCAUAUCUCUAUCUAUAAAGAAACUCUGUCUCAUCUAAGAUAAUAAAAAAUCUAACAUCUCAAUAUCUCAGUACUCUCAAUAGUGUCUUGGCACUAUUUCUAAUAAGGAAAAGUACGGGGUGUUACAUCCUACCCCCUUUAAAAAAAUUUCGUCCCGAAAUUUGAGUUAUUCACCUUCGGGAAAAAGCUCAGGAUACUUUUCUUUCAUCUUCUCUUCGAGUUCCCAUGUUGAUUCUUCUUGGCCGUGAUGUCUCCAUUGGAUCUUCACCAAAGGAAUCGACUUGUUCCUCAACUGUUGGAUCUUCCGGUCCAGAAUAGCAUCAGGUCUCUCCUCGUAGCUCAAAUCUGGCUCCAGGGAUACUUCUUCUUGAUGAAUGACGUGUUUUGGAUCAAACACGUACUUUCUUAGUUGAGACACGUGAAAAACGUCAUGGACGUUCGCGAAGCUCGGCGGCAACGCAAGUUUAUAGGCAACAUGGCCUACUUUCUCUAGUAUAUCAUAUGGCCCUAUAUAUCUCGGUUUGAGUUUUCCUUUAACUCCAAAACGGUGAACUCCUCUGGAUGGGGAAACUAUUAGAAAAACUUUGUCUCCCACUUCAAAUUGAAUCUCCGUCCUUCUGGUGUCUGCAUAAGAUUUCUGUCGAUCUUGUGCUUUUAUUCUCCGUCGAAUCUGUCGUACGAUGGAAAUCAUCUCUUCUAUUGCGUCCGGUCCAAGUACUUUUCUUUCUCCAACUUCGUCCCAAUAAAGUGGGGAUCUACACUUCCUUCCAUACAAGGCUUCAUAUGGAGCCAUGCUGAUUGCCGACUGAAAACUGUUAUUGUAAGCAAAUUAAAUCAGGGGCAAAACUUGCUCCCAUUGGUUCCUCUAUCAAACAACAUAUCAUUCUUGAAUAGUCCUCUCGGACUGUCCAUCUGUUUGCGGAUGAAACGUUGUACUAAAAUUCAAUUUAGUACCCAACUCUUUCUGCAUGCUCAUCCAAAAUCGUGAUGUGAAUUUCGAGUCUCGAUCAGAUGUGAUCGUCAUCAGUACUCCAUGCAAUCGCACUAUUUCUCAGAUAUAAAUCUGAGCUAGCUUGUCAGAUCCAUAAGUAUCUGAAUCGGUAUAAAUGUGCACUCUUCAUCAAUCGAUCGAUGAUUACCCAAAUAGCGGUAUUUCCUCUUUUUGACUUUGGCAAUCCAGUCACAAAGUCCAUGGCUAUAUCACUCCAUUUCCACUCUGGAAUUUCUAAUGGCUGUAACUUGCCAUAGGGUCGUUGGUGUAACGUUUUAACUUGUGACAUGCUAAACAUCUUUCAACGAAAGAUCUAUCUCACGCUUCAUUCAUUCCCACCAAAACUUUGUUUUCAAGUCUUGGUACAUCUUCGUACUUCCUGGAUGUGCGGUAUAAGGGGUGUCAUGAGCUUCACCCAUGAUUUCAUUUUUAAGCUCUUCAUUAUCAGGCACACACAAUCUCUCUUCAAACAAAAUGGCAUUAUAUGCUGCCUCUUGAUAACACUUCACUUUUUCGGUUCGAAUUUUCAUUCCCAACUUUUCCAUCUUCUCAUCCUCUCUUUGAGUUGUGACUAUCCUCGAUCGUAAGUCAGGAGUGAUGCUCAGUGUAGCAAUCACUAUUUCUAUCGAUUGUGGUGGUAUUACUACCUCCAAAUUCAUUUUCUGAAUUCCUUGAUCAGGUUCGCUUCUCGAGUAAGGAAAAAUCCCAAUUCCCCUUGAUUCUUUCUGCUCAAUGCAUCAGCUACAACGUUAGCCUUUCCGGGAUGAUAAUUUAUCCCACAAUCGUAAUCCUUCACUAACUCUAACCAUCUUCAUUGUCGCAUGUUCAAAUCCUUUUGCUCAAAGAAAUAUUUGAGACUUUUAUGAUCGGUGUAUAUCUCACACCGUGCUCGUAGAGAUGGUGUCUCCAAUCUUCAAAGCAUGCACUAGGCUGCUAAUUCUAAAUCAUGGUUGGAUAGUGUAUCUCAUGCGGUCUCAGUUUCGCGAAGCAUACGCUAUAACUUUUCCCUCUUGCAUCAGUACACAACCUAGACCAUUCUUCGAUGCAUCUGUGUAAACUGCAUACUCUUUAUCUGCCUUCGGAACACUAAAUGGGAAUAGUGAGUCUCUUUUUUAACUCUUGAAAACUCCGCUCGCAUUCGUCCGUCCAAUCGAACUUGACUUCUUUCUUUAGCAGGUGCGUCAAUGGCUUAGCGAUUUUUGAAAAGCCCUCAAUAAAACAUCGAUAAUACCUUGCUAAACCAAGAAAACUGUGAAUCUCACGCGGUGUAGUCGGCGAUCUCCACUCUUGUACCGCUUGAACUUUCGCUGGGUCUACUUCGANNNNNNNNNNNNNNNNNNNNNNNNNNNNNNNNNNNNNNNNNNNNNNNNNNNNNNNNNNNNNNNNNNNNNNNNNNNNNNNNNNNNNNNNNNNNNNNNNNNNNNNNNNNNNNNNNNNNNNNNNNNNNNNNNNNNNNNNNNNNNNNNNNNNNNNNNNNNNNNNNNNNNNNNNNNNNNNNNNNNNNNNNNNNNNNNNNNNNNNNNNNNNNNNNNNNNNNNNNNNNNNNNNNNNNNNNNNNNNNNNNNNNNNNNNNNNNNNNNNNNNNNNNNNNNNNNNNNNNNNNNNNNNNNNNNNNNNNNNNNNNNNNNNNNNNNNNNNNNNNNNNNNNNNNNNNNNNNNNNNNNNNNNNNNNNNNNNNNNNNNNNNNNNNNNNNNNNNNNNNNNNNNNNNNNNNNNNNNNNNNNNNNNNNNNNNNNNNNNNNNNNNNNNNNNNNNNNNNNNNNNNNNNNNNNNNNNNNNNNNNNNNNNNNNNNNNNNNNNNNNNNNNNNNNNNNNNNNNNNNNNNNNNNNNNNNNNNNNNNNNNNNNNNNNNNNNNNNNNNNNNNNNNNNNNNNNNNNNNNNNNNNNNNNNNNNNNNNNNNNNNNNNNNNNAAGACAUAUUCUAGUCAGGUUACAUAUUUAUUAACAACUCUGUGACUCCGCUCAGUGCAGCACCAUCAUCACACCGGCUCAACCUGCACAUUUUUGAAAAAGAUAUGCAGGGCUGAGUACAUCGUCAAAAAGUUUGAAAUUUCAAAAACGGUUAAACGGACUCAGAUUUCAAUUCCGAGUUAAUCGUUCUCAUUCAAAUAAGUAUCUCUAACUAUUCAAACACUCGAACUCAAUUACGGAUAUAAAAUCCCACAUCAUUCUCACAUCAUUAAAAGAUCAUCUCAACAUCACUACAUCAAAAACUAGAACUUCAUAUAACACAUCGCAUCAUUACACAAAGUAUAUCAAACAAGGGAUCUAAACCCUAAUUACUCAUACUCAAGCAAUUAAACACGUCAUCAAAAGCUCGGGUAUUACAGUUCAUGAGGUCCAUGAACAUGGCUGGGGCAUUCGUUAAUCCAAAAGGCAUUACUAUAAACUUAUAGUGUCUGUAUCUCGUACGAAAUGCCAUCUUCGGAAUAUCUUUUGAUCGUAUCUUCAGCUGAUGGUAUCCCGCUCUCAAGUCAAUCUUUGAAAAAGUGUUCGCUCCUUGUAGUUGAUCAAACAGGUCAUCGAUUAGAGGUAACGGAUACUUAUUCUUCAAGGUUACCUUAUUCAGCUCUCGAUAUUCUAUACACAACCUCAAGCUUCCAUCCUUCUUUUUAACAAAAAGAACUGGUGCUCCCCACGGGGAAACACUAGGUCGAAUGAAGCCCAUAUCUAGAAGUUCUUGGAGUUGCAGCUUCAACUCCUCUCAACCAAGCCAUUAAUAGCAUCUAUAUAUGAGCAUUCAUUCAUAAAGUUGGUAGAAGGCAUAGCCCGAUUUUCGUGCACCGAGAAAGACACCGAUUCCCCUAACACUGUCAUUUUAAUAGUUCCAUUUUUGACAUCAAUCAACGUGUUAGUGGUCGCCAUAAAGGGUCUUCCUAAUAGCAGAGUGUGAUCUCUACCAUUCUCGUGCACAUCCCCAAUNNNNNNNNNNNNNNNNNNNNNNNNNNNNNNNNNNNNNNNNNNNNNNNNNNNNNNNNNNNNNNNNNNNNNNNNNNNNNNNNNNNNNNNNNNNNNNNNNNNNNNNNNNNNNNNNNNNNNNNNNNNNNNNNNNNNNNNNNNNNNNNNNNNNNNNNNNNNNNNNNNNNNNNNNNNNNNNNNNNNNNNNNNNNNNNNNNNNNNNNNNNNNNNNNNNNNNNNNNNNNNNNNNNNNNNNNNNNNNNNNNNNNNNNNNNNNNNNNNNNNNNNNNNNNNNNGUGGUUACUCUUAGAGGUUGUGGAACAGGCUCUACGUUCAGUUCCAAGGUAUCGACACAAGUAUGAAAGAUAAAAGAAUGCGAUGCUCCACUGUCGAACAAUACUACUAUGGGUACACCUUUCAACUCGCCUAUACAUGUUAAAUUCCCUCGAUUCUUGUCCGGUGCUUUCUGCUCAAGCGCAAACAUUUUCUGAUGAUGAUGUUGAUUCGCUUGCGGGGCUGGUGGCUGCCUUCCUGACUGACGUGGUCGGUAGGCUGGCUGUCGUCGCUGUGGUAGAGGUAGCGGUAGGAUUCCCUCGAUCGCUUUGAGUUGCGGCCGAAACUGACUCGGUCGUCCUCUGCUUCCACUUUGCUGGCGAUUCAGACACUGGUUCGAGUAGUGCCCGACCCUUCCGCAGGUAUAGCAGCUAUUCUGUCCCAUCUUGCAUUCUUCUAAAUGUAGUUUAUUGCACUUCGGGUAAGGUGGUAUCCCUCGCGGUCCUUGAGGAGUUGCUGCUGGGGCGGUUAGGCCAACAUAAGGUCGUUUGUCUCGGUUCUGAUAUUGCGGUGGCACAUUCUGACUGUGCCACGGUUUCUUGGGGCCUUGACUCCGGUCGUCCCAUUUUCUCUUGCCCUUUUGGCCUUGUCCAGAAAAAUACUGAUUUCCCCUUUGAAAAUUUGGGUUUGAUUGUGACAUCGAAGCUUGACUCGGUCUCUUUGGCUGCAUUGCCGGUUCCAUGUCUAACGCUCGAUUCAAAGCCUCAGCAUAGGCUAGCGCACUCUGACUCGCUAAAACGACUCGUAUCUCUUGCCUCAAACCAGAGCAAAACAGUUCUGACAUCUUUUCAUCUGUAUCUACACGAUAUGCAGCAUAUCGAGCCAAAUCGCAAAAUUGUUGGUCGUACUCAGCUACUGUCUUAUUCCCUUGCUUCAAGUUCACGAACUCCAUUUCUUUCUUCUUUCGAUAGCUUCGUGGUAUGUAUUUCUCGUAAAGAGCUUCUUUAAACUGCUCCCAAGUAAGAGCUGCUAUUUGCUCCUCGUUCAUCGUUUUCUGUUUCGCUUCCCACCAGAAAUCUGCAGAUCCCUUAAGUUGAUACGACAUAUACAUCACACGCUCAGCGUCGCUACAUCUAAGGAAUCUGAAAAUUCUUCCCAUACCCCGAAGCCACUCCUCAGUUUCAGCGGGAUCUCCUGAUCCAUUGAAUGUUGGUGGAUUUUGUCUCAGAAAAAGUUCCUCUAUCCUCCUUUCUGGUGGUGGAGGAGGUGGUGGUGUGGGGUCUCUUUGCUCCUCUUCUUCUUCUCGGUUUAUGUUCCUUCUGUUCCCUCUUCUUCUCGGAGGCAUACUAAAAAGGAAAAAGGAAAAUAUAUAAAGAUUGGCCUCGAAGCUUAGCCCUUCGUCAUAAAAAAACAAGUUCUCUUUUCUCAUCUCAAUUCUACAUCUCAUAUGUGAUCUCAUAGUCCUCGUCAACUCUGUUACUCAUCUAUCAUCAUUCAUCAAAAUCAUCAAUCUCCAAGCUCUGAUAAGGAAACAGGGACUCGCUAAUCAUCAACAUCUAUGUGUAUAUAUAUAUAUAAGGAAAAUUGCCUCUCUCUCGAGGUCUUUUACAAAAGUAGGGCUUUAUGUACAAAGGCCCUAACAUUAAAAUGAUGUUCUAGCUAUACAAGCAUCAUAAGCUCUAAGCAUCUAAAGAUAUAAGUAAUCUACUCAUACACACUAUACUAUAUAUGCUUCUCUACCUAUAUAUAUCAACUAUGCGUCACUAUACAUAUAUAUACGCGUCCACGAGAUAAACAUGAUCACUGUCCAUUGUCUCCCGAUACCCUGCUAGCUGCGUCAUCAACCGGCAUGUCCUCGCUCGGCUCCGUCCUCUCGCUUGGCUCGUCCUCAAUGUCGGUGUCCACCAUUAGCCCAUACACCGGCACCUCGGGAACCGGUACCCAAAUCUCGACUCCAUCAGCAGUAGUCUCCCGCUGCAGUGGCCAGGUCCGUCCGUAGCCGACCGUCAUCUCUGGAGUCUCCUCGUCCGGAUCCUCCUCAUCGCUGUCGAAGUGUGCUGGCCGAGAUCCUUCCUCCUGGGCGUCUCGGGACGGUGGGUAUAAGAUAGGAUGCAUGUACAUCUGGAAAGCCAAUGAGCCUGGCUCAGGCAACGGGGCAACCCUCGAAUAAGGAUCAAAGGGAAUGUGAUGUAUCUGCGGCUCUAUAGAAACAAUCGACGGUGAUGACUCAACAGGUGGCCGUGGCCAAGGUGUCAUCACCGGUGUCAAAUCCCAAGUCGAUAAAUCAGCGCUGGGAAAAGGAAUAAGUGAUAGAAAAGAGAACAGAUCAUGCUCUAUCAUAGGGGAGUAUGUCUCAAAGACCAUCGGCUCAGGGACAAUAUGCUAAGGUGAAACUAGAAUCAGAUCAGCAGGGGGUAGAGGUGCCAUCGGAAAAGGCUCCUCGGGAAGUGGGGGCACAACAACUAGCUCCCCUCUCUGGGCUGGUUCCUCAGACUCUCCAUACGGCGGAGAAGGUGGCUCGCCAUAGGCAAAGUAGUGGUGGCUAAGAGUCGCGAUAAAGCCACAAAAAUUGGCGCUUACGAAAUGCCCGAACUUUGUCCUCAAGAUAUGCUGCGGCACCAGCAAAGCCUCCCAGUCCUGCCACUCGGGUGCAGCUGUGGAAUCAGGUGUGUGAUGGCCUCAGCCUCGUCAAUCCAGUGGGUACUAGCCUCCAACCAACGACGGUGGUAGAGUGCUAGAAACUCUCCAAGCAUAUCACCCUCUCUCGGUCCAGUAGAUCUGAACCAACGGCGCAUCACCUCACUAUGUCGUCUCUGCAUUGCUGCCUCUACUUGACUUUGCAUCCUGUAAUAUAAAAUAUCAUGUCCAUUAGAAAUUGGAUAACGAACUUACUUGGUACAUCUCAAUCAACAACAUACUCAUCCUCGUUUGGUACGGUGGGACAUUGUCUAUACUAGCCUCAACAUCUCUCCUCAUAAUCCACAACAACUGCCUCAUCUCACAAUCUAUCACCUCAUCUCACAAUCCACAAUAAUUCCGCCAUCAAAACAAUACAUAACUCAUUAGUGACUCAAACUCAAAUCUCAACAGGAAAGCAACAAAGAAACAUCAUCAACCUCUUACCUCAAACUAGCCUAGAAAUUCAAGUUAGACUAGUACUCAACUCAAAGAUGAAAGCAAUCAAAGAAUCCACUCAAUCAAGCAAUAUACUCAGUGCAGACGAACUGCGCUGCUAACACUCUGUCGCAGCCCGAUCUCAACGCUAGUAAUAGCGGAGUCCGAGUAUCGAUACGACUAUAAUAAAAGAAUAAAAAGACAUGAAGAACUAGAAUUGAACAUCAUGCGGAAGCUCACAUCAAAGCAUGCUAAGGCAAGGCAUCAUAGAUCAACUCAAGGGUAUAAACGUCAACAUCAUCAUAUCUCCAUAAAUAUCAUGAAUCUCGAAGACAGAUACAAACAAGGUAUAGCUCAAUAUUCAUAAGGUAUCAUAAAAUUCAGAGUCUCGCAGCAAAAGGUGAAUCGAUCAUAUGUAUGAAGACAUAUAAUCGCGAGUAAAUUGCUUGAUUAAAAAGAAAACAAUGUAUCUCAUCAUUAAGGUUUUAUCAACAUUCAAAAGGGAAGCAAAGUGUAUCAUCGUUAGGACUCUAUCAAGAAAAGGAAAGCAGCAAAGAAAAUUCAUCAACAAAACAAUCCCCGCCACCACCAGUCCAAUCUCGCUCCAUCGCUUAGCCUGCACAUUUAGAAAUACAUGCAAGGCGUGAGUAUAUAAUACUCAGCGGGCAAACGCCGAAAAACAAGAAAAGCUGCUCUUAGAGCUAUAAGUUUGAAACUUGCCACAUCUCAGCAAUACACAUGAAUAAAUUUAGCGUAAAUGAACCUGUGUAAGCAAGUUUUAAUAAUCAUGACAUCAUAAAUAAACGACUGCAGUCAAAGAUCUCAACAUGUAUGCGCCUCCCUCUCAAGUACUGUGACGGGCCGACCCGAAGACGGCUCACAGUCACCUCUGUGCACAAAAUCCCACUUGUGGCAGGACCGAAUUCAUCUCAUCUCAUCAGUAGCAGGUAACAUACAGGCUCAACAUCAAAAAUUGGAAAGUCACUGAUGCGUCUUCGACUUUUGGGCCAUUUGGCCCUAUUUUUCUCUUUAUUUGUGUCAGUACAGGUCUGUCCAGGGGGAAAACAAAGUUGUGGAGGAAGGAAGGUCAGUAGAGCGGAAACGGAGGAAAUGCGGUCAGAAUGGGCAUUACCGAGCCCAGAUUGCUAUGUCAUGUUUGCCAGCAUGGAACUUCGGCCAACAAGUACCUCCCCAGUCUAACUUGGGGCAUGGGAACCUGAAGCAACCCACCUGGUAUGAACUACACUGAAGGAAGCAAUCCGUCUGAUCGCUACCAUGAAAAGCAGACAGCCGAGCCAAGAAAGGAAAGUAAAUCUCGGAGAUUUUGAAGAAGCGAGCGGAAGCAAGAGAAAGGAACUGGAAGGAUCUGUAGAAUGGGAAAGGUUGACUAAGCUUGCAGCUGGACGCCAUCUUCAAUCGGAUCAAUCAAAGAUUGAGCUAAAAAAGGAAAGAAGAUCCCGGCGAAGAUUUGGAGCUGGCACAGCUAGGGUUAGACCUUGACCAUUCGGCAGUAUAAAAGAUUGAUGUGUGCAGCGUGCACAAGCUCUUGGCACCUUUUGAACUCCUGUUUUACUUUAGCUAUUACUUCAAUUCAUCGUGUGUGGCAUCCAAAACAAUUUACGUUUCAGUACUAUUUUCCUAUUUCCAUUGUGUUUUGCAUUCGAACAAGAUUGAAGGCUUGCAGCCUUAGGUAUUAUUUAUCUAUUCAAGUAUUUCCCUUUGCUCUAUAAUGUGUUUAAUUCAUUCCGUAUUUAUGAAUUCUGUUAUGUGUGAGUAAUUCCUUAGGUGAGGUUUUAGGGGUGGAAAUAAUUUUUGUUAACAUGUAAACAUUCGUGAGGUAUUUAUUCUUUCGGUUGAAUCUCGUGGUUCCGGAAGGAUCUGUUCGAAACCAUGGGCAGUAGGGGCCUAACGGGUGAUCUCCGUUCGGUAAAACGCUGCCCGUGUCAAGCAAAGGCCAGGGUGUACCAAGGUACAAUAACCGGUAUACCCAAGACCGAGUAGCUGAGCAGCGUCAACAAAAGGCGUUGUAGAACCGAAGUGGGGAAAGGAUUGAUGGGAUACACUGUCCUUCCUCAGUCUUGGGCUUCUCUAGAGACUAUCCAUCAACUGUGACGAGGAUCAAGCCAUGGUUAUCAAACGAGGAAAGCAAUCUCGGCGCCGUAGCAUGUCUAUGACUGGUCGGCUGACAAAGCCGGAAAUGGUUGUGUCCAGGAGGCAUGUGUCACUCAAAGUGCGGAGUUGGGGACCUCGGGAGAGAAGGUUGAUGAGGGCCAUACUUGGUGAGUAACGGGUAUGACUACCAUCUAAGGAGAAGUGAAGCACUGCCUUGUGACCGGGGAACGUGUGACCUUCGGACCAAGUGACCACAAUGGGAUCAACCAUCCUAUAUGUGAAGUAUAACCCCUUGAAACGCCCCAAUGUCUUUGGGCCACGCCUUGGGUUUAUAUGGAUCAUGGACGGAUUAUCAGUAUGCCUAUGACCGAAACGAAUGUUAACAACAGUUUGACCUAACCGAAUAACCUCACCCCUUGUUAUUAUUGAUCUUGUUAAUUUCUUGUGCAGAGUAUACAGAUUGAGAAUUGUGACACCUCAGUUUGUCGUUGGAGAACAAAGUGGUUCCUCACUCCCUGUGGGAUUCGACCCUACACUUACCACUAAGACUGAGAUCUUGUUGUGGACGUAGGAGCGUGUAUUGUCUUAUGGGCAUACACAAGUAUUUUCCCGCACCGCACGACGGUGUGUGUCAAAAUUGGCGCCGUUGCCGGGAGUGACGCGCAGCAAUUUUGUUCUCUCCUCAUUCCAUUUUCCGCUACUGGUGUAUGCGUGGAACUCGUAGAGCUGUAAGAGCAUUGGUGUUUGAUCCUGAUAUUGAUCGUACAGAAAGACGACUGCGCGCAGGAGCACGAAUAGCGAGACGCGAAGCUAUGGCAGAGGCUGAACAGGCAGAAGCCGUACCGGAGCAGACCCUCAGACAGUUGGCAUACCCAAUAACCUCAACCUGAGGCGAACGGAAUCACCCUACCCGCAAAUCCGUUCGCACCUCGUCGGUAUGACAUGAAGCCCUCAUUGCUUCAGAUCUUACCGAAGUUCAAUGGAUACCAAGGAGAUGACCCUCACACUCAUCUCCAAGAUUUUGAGAUGACAAUCAUGCAUCAAUCCAAUGAUGAGCAGCAAGAGUAUGUCAAAUUGAUACUCUUCCCUUUACCUUGGUGGACAACGCAAGAAGAUGGCUGUAUGACCUACCCGAAGGCAGUGUCACUACAUGGGCACAACUGCAACAGGCCUUCUUGGAAGAAUUCUUCCCAGCAGCACGAGUGGAGCGGAUGAGAUGGGAUAUCCGCAGCAUCAGGCAAGAUGGUCUAGAAUCCUUCUACGAAUACUGGACAAGAUUCAAGAGAAUGUUAAGCAAUUGUCCGCAUCACCAAAUCUCUCCAAAGGAUCAGGUGGAGAGCUUUGUAAAGGGCAUGCGGAGAAACGAUCGCAGUUUGGUCCUAGCAGCCUGCAAUGGAUCGUUGAUGAGUAAGACUCCAUUGGAAAUCUUCCAAUUGUUGGGCACCAUGGCAGAAGAAUCACGCGAUGAAGGGCAUGAAAGAAAUCUGGAAAAACCAAGGAAAACUGAAGAGAAGGAGGAGAUGUCCAAACUGGAGAAAACUAUGGAGAAGAGCAUGAACGAACUCAAGGAACUUCUGUCGGGCUUGACUAUACCGAAGAAGAUUCGCCAGUGUGGCCUUUGCGAUGCCACAGGACAUCAAUCUGAAAAUUGUCCCAAUUUUGGCGAAGAUAUUGUAGAUGUCAAUGCCAUCGGAGGACAUGAUGGGAAUCCACGGAAGUAUGAUCCUUUUGCAAACAAUUACAAUCCAGGGUGGAGAGAUCACCCUAACUUUCGAUGGAAGCAAGAUGGUCAGCCCCAACAGCAGAACAAUAUGAGCGCACCGAUGCCACGUCCCCAGUAUAAUCAGAACCAGCAUCAACAACAGUACCAGUUGGGACCCCCUCAACACCACAACCAGAAUCAACAACAACCCCCUUAUCAACCACCACAUCGGAGAGCACCUUGGGAAGAAGCCAUUGAAAGCAUGGCUAAGGAGAGCGAGAAAUUUCGCAAUGAAAUUCGUGCCGGAAUGAACCAAACCAACCAGCAAAUUAGUCACUUGACUAAAGCAGUGGCCAAACUCGAGGAGAACGCUGGUAAACUCCUAGCCAUGAGAAUCAACCCCAGAGAACAUGCCCAAGUUGUGCUAACUGAGUUUCCUGAGGGAGAGGAAAAGGAAGAAGAGUUCACGCUUCAAGAUGAUGGCUGAGAAACUUUGUUCAAAGUGGUCAGGACCAUUUGUGAUCAAAGAAAUUUUCUCAAACGGAAGCAUAGAAGUGUACGAUCACAAUGGAGUUGAUACGUUCGUGGUAAAUGGGCAUCGCCUAAAGCUCUAUCAUGAGCUUGCUGAGGUAGAAAAAGAGAAGGAGGAAUGCCACCUUCUCGACCCUGAGUAUGAGUAAAGAGUGAAGGAGAGUCGAGCUCAAGACGGGAAACAAGAGCGCAUGCUGGGAGGCAAUCCAGUGUGGUUUCUUCGGUAUGGUCUGUACCGAAUGUUCUUUUCUUUUCUUUUAUGUUGUUUUAUUUUGUUUGGAUGCACUAACCCUACAGGGAGACGGGCCAAGAUGAAUUUGGAAGGAGGCCCAGAGGAGAAUCCGAGCCCACUUUGCGUUGCAAAGUGUGUAGGUGGAGAGUUGGGGGUUGGAAUGAUCUGGAAGAGGGCUUACGAAGAGGGAUGACGUAAGCGUGUCAGCGGCAGGCGGCGAUGUGACUGCAGCCCUUCGGUUUCCGCAGAAAUUUGAAAUUCAAAUUUUUGGCCAUGAUUUUCUUUCCUUAAAAAUUUCUUUUUCUGCCAUAACCGCCAUUCUUACCAUCUUUAAAGCCUAACCCAGAUUUUUUCUCCCACAAACCCUAACUCCGAAAACUGCUACACCACGAUCUCCACUCGCUCCAAACCCUAAAUUUCCAUAACUACCGAUCACCCUUCUUAAAGGCCAACCCUGCUUCCAAAAUCCCCACAAAAUCCAAAACUUCCGCGCAAAAUUCUAAGUCUUUUGAUCUCUGCAAAUCACAAUGGCAAAAACCAAAGGAGGAGCAGGCUCCGGAAGCACCCAACCACCGAAGAAGAAAAGCACCAAACCUCCACCUCCAAAGCGUACCACGAGGCGAACCGCUUCGGAGGAGACCUCCACCAAAAUCACCGAAGACCCUUUGCUGAAUAUCCAGCCCGAGGACAGAGGGCGUGCUGAAGUCCUUCAACAAGAGGAAUAGGAAGUAGCAAGAACUGCCGCCGAGUCAAAACAACCGGAAGAAGGGGAGCCCGAGCUCACCCCUCCUGUGAAGAAGUCAAAGAAGGCCCAGGCGGGCAAAGCAACUCCGGCGCGAUCCAUUGUCGCACCAUCACCUGUUCAAACCCAACCUCAACCGCAAAUUCCAGAAACCUCCAUGCAGGAGGGGAGAACAGCUUCCGAGGAUACGGAAGAAGAAGAACAAGAGAAAGCGGAGGAGGAGAAGGGGGAAGAAGAGAAGGUGGACGAGGAGGAGGCUGAUGAAGUAGAGGAAGUUGAGGCCGUUCAAGAGAAGGAGGUAGAGGUCCCGACACCACAGAGCAAGAGACCCGGAGUGAAAAGAAAGCUUGAUGUUGCGAAGCCCCCACUGCCAGUUAAGGCCAGACCAGCACCGGCAGGCAGUAAGACCAGGACCAAAGGUGAACAGAGUAAGAAGCAAAGGAAGCCUACUGCAGCCGAAAAAGGAAAGGCUAAGGAGAUGGAAGAGCCGAUGGAGGUAGACCCAGAAAGAACCGAGACGGUGGAAAGCUCCAACUCAGAGGAUGUGAUCGCCCCUGCUAAGCCGGUGACGAGCACAAUCACCUCAAAACCCAAGGGCGUCAAGCGCAAGGGGGUGGUACGACCCAGCACUAUGGAGACGGUCAUACCGAGGGACAAUCAGAGGUAUGCUGUUUUGCAGAACCGGGAAAUAACCCCUGGUAUUUUCUGGUGACUGAAGUGUUGGAGGAUUUCGGGAUAAAAGAACGUGUGGAGGGAUAUUUUAAGAGCAUUGGUUGGGGGAAGAUUCUGAAGUGGAAUGUGUUGGCGUUCAAGCAUAUAUCGGAAGAGUUCAUGAGCACGGUGGAGUUCAAGCCGAAGGGAAAUUACUCGAUUGAAACACCAGGUACCCUGCGUUUCCAAUUGCGGGGGAAGAUGUUCCCACUUUCCAUCAACGACUUGAACAUCCACCUGGGAGUGAUCGAGGACAAGGAGGUGUACGAUGAUGAGUAUAAGCAAGCUGAAACCAUGGCUCCACCCGAGUGGCGAAGUCAGAUUGACCUUUACUGGUCUCAACUCUCGACGGGGGCCAAAUAUGUGAAAAAUAUCAGCAAGUCCAAGAACUCGCGACCCAGCCUGCAGAUUUGCCAUCGUUGGUUGGCAUACAACAUCUACGGCGGAUUGAGGGGUCCAACGUAGUCACGCAGCAAGAGCUCUUCUUGCUCUGGUGCAUGGUGGAGAGAAAGAAGGUGAACUUUGGGUUCACCGGGUACAGACACUAUGGAAACGGUAUACCGAAGGACAAUAGAGGUAUGCUGUUUUGAGAACCGGGAAAUAACCCCGUGGUAUUUUCUGGUGACUGAGGUGUUGGAUGAUUUCGGGAUAAAAGAACGUGUGGAGGGUAUUUUAAGAGCAUUGGUUGGGGGAAGAUUCUGAAGUGGAAUGUGUUGGCGUUCAAGCAUAUAUCGGAAGAGUUCAUGAGCACGGUGGAGUUCAAGCCGAAGGGAAUUACUCGAUUGAAACACCAGGUACCCUGCGUUUCCAAUUGCGGGGGAAGAUGUUCCCACUUUCCAUCAACGACUUGAACAUCCACCUGGGAGUGAUCGAGGACAAGAGUGUACGAUGAUGAUAUAAGCAAGCUGAAACCAUGGCUCCACCCGAGUGGGAAGUCAGAUUGACCUUACUGUCUCAACUCUCACGGGGGCCAAAUAGUGAAAAAUAUCAGCAAGUCCAACGAACUCCGCGACCAGCCCUCAAUUUGCCAUCGUUGGUUGGCUACAACAUCUACGGCCGGAUUGAGGGUCCAACGUAGUCACCAGCAAGAGCUCUUCUUGCUCUGGUGCAUGGUGGAGAGAAAGAGGGUGAACUUUGGGUUCACCGCGGCACUCAGUUUCAGUAUGGGGUAACCCAUACCAACAAGUACCUCUCCCUAUGCCCGCUGGUGACCUCCUGCGAAGAAGCUUGCAAUUUCAACGAUAGGCCCCGGAUGAAGCAGCUGUGCAGAAACCCGACUUUUGAUAUCGGGCGCUUGUGCUUGGCGGAUUGUUGAGGUGGAUGAAAGAGGCGGCUACCGUUUGGUCCAACCGGAUGGCAGCUCAGUUGACCUGAACCAAUUGCAAGAACAGGAACUCUCGCCCGACCAGUAGCGAGAUUGUCAUGCUGACGGUCGAACUGAAGGAAAUCAAAGACGAGCUGUUGAUGCUGGGAGGAGAGUGGCCACGCUGAGGGAUGCCAUG
rnacentral:lncRNA from 1 species